UUGUUCGCAAUGGGCGCGAGCCUGACGACGCAACGCCGCGUGGAGGAUGAAGGUCUUCGGAUUGUAAACUCCUGUUGAUCGGGACGAACAUCCAUCGGGUUAAUAGCCCGGAGGACUGACGGUACCGGUUGAGGAAGCCCCGGCUAACCCUGUGCCAGCAGCCGCGGUAAUACGAAGGGGGCUAGCGUUGCUCGGAAUUACUGGGCGUAAAGGGCGCGUAGGCGGACGAUUAAGUUGGGGGUGAAAUCCCAGGGCUCAACCCUGGAACUGCCUCCAAAACUGGUCGUCUUGAGUACGGAAGAGGUAUGUGGAACUCCGAGUGUAGAGGUGAAAUUCGUAGAUAUUCGGAAGAACACCAGUGGCGAAGGCGACAUACUGGUCCGUUACUGACGCUGAGGCGCGAAAGCGUGGGGAGCAAAC
rnacentral:rRNA from 1 species